GAUGAACGCUGGCGGCGUGCCUAAUACAUGCAAGUCGAGCGAACAGACGAGGAGCUUGCUCCUCUGACGUUAGCGGCGGACGGGUGAGUAACACGUGGAUAACCUACCUAUAAGACUGGGAUAACUUCGGGAAACCGGAGCUAAUACCGGAUAAUAUAUUGAACCGCAUGGUUCAAUAGUGAAAGACGGUUUUGCUGUCACUUAUAGAUGGAUCCGCGCCGCAUUAGCUAGUUGGUAAGGUAACGGCUUACCAAGGCAACGAUGCGUAGCCGACCUGAGAGGGUCAUCGGCCACACUGGAACUGAGACACGGUCCAGACUCCUACGGGAGGCAGCAGUAGGGAAUCUUCCGCAAUGGGCGAAAGCCUGACGGAGCAACGCCGCGUGAGUGAUGAAGGUCUUCGGAUCGUAAAACUCUGUUAUUAGGGAAGAACAAAUGUGUAAGUAACUAUGUACGUCUUGACGGUACCUAAUCAGAAAGCCACGGCUAACUACGUG
rnacentral:rRNA from 1 species